rnacentral:lncRNA from 1 species
CAAAGAAAACAGAAGCUGAGAUAUAGAAGUUUAAGAGAUUUAUUGAGAGGUAAUACCUGUGGAAAAUAAAAAGAGGAGGAAGUCAUAUUGGAUGGGCAAGGAAAACAGAAUCUCUGACCAUGAAAUGUAUUUGGCAGUCUUGCCCAGCCCAGUGGGGAGCUAUGAAAUAGAUUACACAUUAAGUAGAAAAGCCUGUCACUAAUUCCUGUCUUCUGCUCAGCCUUUGGCCCAGGACUACCUAGAAGAAGGCUGCCUGUGCUCAAAAGUGGUUGUGGAUCCCAUAGGUGCUAACAUCUGGAGGCUGUCAGUUAGAAGUUAUAUUUCAUUUUACAGAAGAAAAUUAUAUCAGAAAGAUUUCUCUCACUAGAAACAAACAAUGAAGGAAGGGCUCACGAAUCUGGAAAGUUCAAAGUUGGUUGACCAGCUUACCUUUGUCAUGAUGGACCCACUUUACCAGUUGUUUUCGAUCUCUCCAUUCUGUCAAUUAUGGUGUACCCCUAACUCUGAAACUGGCUCCUUUAAUGGAUAUGAGAUAUACUUUCUUUUUCCUGUACAAGGAUACAAGCUUUUUGAUUGGUGCCACCCGCCCCCAGAGUGGGUCUUCACUCUUUGGUAAGUCCAUCAUUGAGACACACCUAAGACUAUGCUAAGCUAAUCAGUUGGGCAUUUCUUAAGCACAUUGACAAAACAGUUAACUGUCACACCGACUGUAUAUGUAACAUCUUCAGUGACUUUCAAGAAGUUGCCCUGAUGUUCAUAUUUCAUAUGAAGUGAAUGAUAUUGGGAUAUUGUUUCAAUUGCAGAGGUUUCUGAUCAUUCCUCCAGGAUAUGCUUAGUUAUAUACCAUGGAAUUAAUGUUCUAGAAGCAAUAUGUUCAUCAUUUCAUUUUCUUAUGCAAAUAUCUUCAGCGGCUUCAUUAUUGCCUGUGAAAUAUAAACUUAACAUUCCUUACUUAAUUUGCAUCAAAGCCUUUCAUUGUAUCAAAGCCUUCUAUUGUUUGUUCCAAAUCUACCUUUACAUACUUCUGCACCAUUAUUUUUUAAAAUUUCAUUAAUAUGUUUAGCAUUCUUCACACCUAUGGACAUAGGCACACAGCCUGAAAAACAGAAUGCAAUAACAAAAAAUCUCCUUUAAGCUGCUUUUCUGUUUGAAAUCCCUACCCCUAGGGGUAAAGAGGACUUCAUACAUCUUGCUGGUUUUAGACAUUUUGCUUUGGAAACUGGUAAGAUUCAUUGUCCAAACUAGAUCUAUUCUUUUGGGGUUUUUUUUUUGUUUUGGGGGGUCGAAUGUUUUUGGGGGUCGAAUUCAGGUCCUUGCGCUUGCACAGCAGGCAGCGAAACCAUUGAGCUAAAUCCCCGGCCUGCUAGAUCUAUUCUUUAUUUCUUCCUAAGUAAUAAUUCUUAUGUUAUUUGAAUGAUAGCAUAGUUUGCUUUACCCACAUUUCCUAGCCUUUCUAGCAACAAGAUACAUCCACAAGAUAACGUUGUAAAAUUGUUGAAAGGAUUCGAAGAGGGGCACCUUAAAGCUGUGUAGUCUUCUGCUUUUCUUCCUGCUUGCUGCCUAAGAAAUGAGUAAUAAUGGCUGGAGUUCCAGUAGCCACCAGGGACCAUGAAAUUACAAGUGGAGCUCAGGUCUGAGAAUGAUAGAAGAAAAUAACAGAAAAGACCCUGGGUUCGUGGUGACUUUAUGGAACUGUUAUGUUAGCUCUGGACUUCUUUUACGACAUUUCUUUGACUUUUAAGAUGCACCAUUUAUUUAUAUAUUAUUAAGUGAUGGAGCCCGCCAUCACUUGUUGAACAGUACCUGAAUGGGGGAGUGAGAAUGAAGAAAAAUAAAGACAAAGAGAUAGAGUCAGGAGGGCUCCCAGAGACCAAGCGCCCAAGUUUAUUUUUCUCCUCUCUUUUCUACAACAGGUGAGUUUGCUUGUUAAUCAUGACCCUCAUCCAGAGACACCUGCUUCCUUGUUUUCUAGUUCUUUGGGAAUUCCCCACCCUCAUAGGCAUCCUUGUUUCUUGGGGUUACAGAACAUUCAUCACGUUCCAGGACAAUCUAAUUCGGCAAGGACGUGGUUCCUCAUAACAUAGUC